rnacentral:tRNA from 1 species
UCCCUGGUGGCUCAGAGGGUAAAGCAUCUGCCUGCAAUGCGGGAGACCCGGGUUCGAUCCCUGGGUCAGGGAA